AAAAAUAUAACAGAUAAGUCCGCAGGUGCAGAUGUUAUAAACAUGCAUAACGCUAACAGAUGAAACUAGCUCUAAGCACAGGAACUACACAAUCAGGCAUGAAGCUAGCUCCACAUUCUGAAAAAAAACUCACCUUUUUGAAGCCGGCUAUUAAUUUAAUAGGAACCCAGCCCUGGUCAUCCAUGUUCUGCCUCAAGUAGGUAUCCUUAAUUAGAUUUUCAUUACUGCAACAAAGAAUCAGGCAGUUAGCUUUGUGGGUGACAUCAAUACCAAGAUAUGCCCACUGAAUUAACGAAGUUGACCUAAGUUACCAUGCAAACAAAGCAUUACCUGAAAUAAUAAUCUAUCUGAUUCACUAUACUAGCAUGCAACUGAUUUUCAUGAGGCUCAGGGGCUGGGAAAAACAUUGGGGACAUUGAGGCAACAAAUGGCAAACCUCUAAGUGACUCUGGAGGAGCAGCUGGGACCAUAUAAAGAGAUGCCAAUUCUGAAAGGAGGCAGAGAGAUUACAGUAAAUUCAGAAUGUCACUCAUCCUUAACCAAAAAAAAGCAACAACAAUAGUGAAAGAACAGCUUACCAGGAUACCCCAUUGGGGUGCCAAAAGGCCGCAUAGGAGUGUGAGCAAUAAAUGGUAAAGUAUUAGGCAGAGGAGGUGGGGGGGGAUGCCUCAUUAACCUAGGAGCAACUCUUGGCUGCAUGUGACCAUCCCUGUUAUUAAAAUUUCGACCAUUCCACUCAUGAUUUCCAUGAUCUUGAUUGCGCCUUCCUCCAAAAUUCUGAUGGUGAGAACCCUCUCCUCGUGGAUGUGGACCAUCAUUAAGUUGUCUGAAUGAAUUCCGUGGGUGUUGGUGAUCAUUACUACCAGCAUGAGACUGUGAUGCAAAUCCACUUCUCUGUGUCUGGUCCCUUGAAGAAGGGCUAUUAACAGGUAAUUCAACAAUAGGACCUUGAGGUGGAGGCUGUGAGAGACUGCCAUUAGCUGCCGGGUUAUUACUAUUGCGUUUCAUUGACCUCUGGCGUGUAGGAGCAUGGUUCGGAGUCAAAUUCAAAUUUGAGUUUGCACUGUUGCUGACUGGUUUCUGCAAAGCGGAAGAUGAUGACGCACUUCCACUCCCCUACAAAUUACAGAUUGCUAAGUAUAACAAAACCAUCCAGAUAAGUAACCUCCAAGAAAACAAAAUUACAUCAUAUAUAAAUUUGAGCAAAUGAAUCUCUAAAUACUUCCUAUAUUCAUGCAAAGAACAUUAUGCAGAUUCCAUAAAAUGAAAUACAAUUCAAGAUUCUUUUGAUCCUUUGGUUAAUUAAUUUGGUUCAGUUAAAACAGUUAAUUUCAGCUAUUUUAACAGUUGGUAAUAAAUAAACUAGAAAUGGUAGCGAUUAAAUUGAUUUUUUUUUUAAAAAAGGUCUUAAAUUUAGGAAAACAAACCUGAGAAACGGGGACAACAGGAGGAGAAGAUGAUGAUCCAUCCAAUGAAGCUCUGGGUGAAUCUGAAGAGGAUUUGGGAGAAGCCUUAGCGGAAUCAGACAAAGCAGGCCACCUAUGGGUCCCCAUGACGGCCGCAAUCUCGGCAUCACCGUUAGAAGGUUUGUUCCAAGCGGGCCUCUUACCCGCAUUUCCAUUAGACCCAGAACCCGCAUUCUCCCCGCCUUCCUCCUCAACCACCGCCACAACAGGUGGCUGCUCAGUCGCAGCUAUUAAUGGCGGUGGCGACGACGAAGAAGACGAAGGCGAUAACGGAACACCGGCGAUCGGGUCGGGUUCUCGACGACCGAUUCCAGUCCUAGUCGAAGAACCCGCCCUCGUAGCGCGAUGUGAUUGUUUAGGGCUACUGGGAGAGUGAUUAACAGUUGUCACUGAAGCGGAAGAGGUAUUGAAAUUAGCCGUAUUAAUAUUUGCAGCCAUAGCAAAACCCCAAUUAAAACAAAAAUCGGAUUUUCCCCUUUUUCUCUCCCUUUAUCGAUGAGUUGAUCGACGGAGAAAAUCGCUGAAAAAAAUCGAACAAAAUUUUGAUCCAAAAAUUUCAAAAAAAGAAAUCAAACAAAAUUCGAGACGAGAAAGAGUGAGAGUUGAAGUAUUCGAUGCUCCAAAAUUGCAAAAAUUUAGGAAUUUUUUUCCAAAAAUAAAAAAUUAGGGAUUCGAUAAUUCGAUCGAAGAAGAAGAGCAGCGAUGGAGGCGCUGUAACCUCAGCUUCUCUCUUUCUUUCUGUUUUUUCUUUCUCACUUUUUUUCUUUUUUAAAUAUAUUUUUUUGUGCGUAUUUUUUUUAUUUUAAUGUUAUUUCAUCCAGGUCCUUGCUUAACUGUUGGGUUUUUUUCAUUUUUGGCUUGGUAUACUCUUACGAUUUUACUAUAUUGCCCUCUAUUCAGGGGUUGUUUUGGUCAAUUCGAUGCUGAAAUAGAAUAAUUUACUGCUGUACAAAUCUAAUUAGGGUUUUUCACUUGGCUUCCUCGUUUGACUGGCGGUAAAAUUCAGUUACGUAGUUUCUUAAUUCAGGGCCACCCUUGGUUUUAAUCCAAUAGAAAUAAGACACGUAAUGAUGAGAAUAAAUCCUUUUUUCCAAUGUAUAAUAUAAUUUAUUUGGUAAAAAUACUAUAGAGAACCUUAUACUAAGAGUUGUAUUGUAUUUUACGCUUUCUACUUUAGAAAAUGAGCAAAUCAAUUCCAAUAUGUUAGAUUCUAUUAAAAUUUUCAUUUAAUUCUAUUUUUAAAAACUAAUCCCUGUACAUCGACGUGAGAUAUACGUGAGACGUUAUGUGUAACUAUUUGAUUAUUUUGUCAACCAUAUUUUUUUAUGAUAGAAAUAGACAAAAAUUUUAACUAAAAAAUUAAUUUACUCUUUAAUUUAAUGUACAAUAAUUAAUUUACUCUUUUUUUAAUAAAAAAAGUAAUUUAACUAUAAGCACAAAUACUUACACGAUUCUUUCACCAUUUUUUUGUCCUUUGUAAAUGAUUUUUAUUAUGGAAAAUAAAAUUGAUUUUAACAUACUUCAUUAAAAAAUGUCUUUAAAAUAUUAUAUAUAUAUAUAUAUAUUGGAUUUCUCAAUGUAUUUACAGAAACGAAUUCAAUAUUUAAUCUUGCGUAUUUAGUAACAACAUUAAAGGUUACAUAUUGACAAUGAAUUUUAAAACUGUUUUAUACCGAAAAUGAGAAUUGAAUUAAAAUUGUUUUAUACCGAAUAUGAGGAUUGAACUCUCAGAGUUAUUCUUGAUUUAUAAUAUUUUUAAUUGGUUUCUAAAAGUAUAAAAUCUUAUAUCAAUCAAUCUUUUAUUCAACUUGCAAGUUAAAUGUUAAUUUUAGAUUUAAAGUGGAAUGCAUUUAAAGCACAUUAAUUAAAUUAUGAACUAAUUGGAUUUCCUACUGAUCAUUCUGUAAUUAGUUUAUUUUUUAUUUACUUAAAAAUUAUAUUUAAAAAUAUUUAUGAAAAAACUGUAAAACCGAUCUAAAUUAUUUUAAAAAAAUAUUUUUUUCAUAAAUUGGAAUAAAAUUAAAUGUUUAAAUACCAGUUUUGAAAGAAAACCAAUGUGAGUAAAUAUAUAAUGUAAAGCACAAUUCUCUUUUCAUCAACUUGCAAACCAUAAUUGUGGAAUGCGGACAUUAAUUCAAUAAAAAGCACUUUCCUUGUAUCCAAAUUUGUAUUCAUUUUUUGCUUUCACCCUUGCAAUUGGAGAGCUAUCAAAACCCCCAAAUUUUUUUUUUCAAAUGAAAAAUAAAAAUUCACCAUAUUUAAACACCAAACACACCAAAUAAAGCAAAAUCCAACAUUCCCAUGAGGGAAAGAAAGAAAGAAAAAAAAAAGAAAACAAUUCAUUAAAGCCACGAAAAUUUUGUCCUACUAGCUCGAAUCCAAAGGUUUUCCUUUUUUUUUUUUUUCCAAAUGGUGCUUUCGUUUUCUUCUCGUAAAGUUUCCUCUAAUUUCCCAGAAAAUCGUAUUUCAUUUCACAACAAGUCACGAGAAAAAGCAUAUUUCGUCGCAACAAGUCACGGAAAAAACCGUAUUCCGUCACAACAUGUAAAAAGCCAACAUCUUCAAGCAAGGCAAAAUAAUAACCCAUGGUGUCAAAAUCAUUCUCUGCACUAUCUUUCCAGGAACUUUUUUCAGCAAGCAACGGCAAGUGUAGCUUAAGUUGAAUUACUUGCCGGACCAGCCUGAGCACUGACAGCUGUUCCUUCAGUGUUGAGUUGCUGUGACUGAUUAUUGAAGUCUCCCGACGAUGCUCUACCUGACAGUCCACUGGCAUUAGUAUCUUCUUGGUUACUUGUACCACUCUGGUUUGAGGUUCUCUGCUCCAAUGAAAUCUUCUGAACACGAGCAGCCAACGUAUCCUGACCAGAAAUGGUAGGGAACUGAACAGAAGGUGGCAUUAUCCAUCGCAUCCAAUCGAUCCGCUUCCUCACUUUGUCACCCUAAAAUGUUAAACGAAAGGUGAUCAAAGCAAACCAUACCAGCAUGCAUGAACAAUAAGAGGCAUGUAUGUCUUGGUGUUUGAUAAGACUAGCAUUUCAUUAUUGAUAAAAAAAAAAAAUUGGACAUAUAUCCCCAGAUUUUCAUUAUAUAAAAGGUACCUGCACUUCCACAACCGUUGACCUCUGCAGAGCAUCCGUUAUAAGCUGAAUAUUAUCAGUCAAAAGUGAAACCUGAAAAGGAGGAGCCAUAGAAUAUGUUGCCUAUCCACAACAAGCUUUUUAAAAAAAUGCUUUACGAGAAGCACGAACACGAACGUACUGAACCAAUGUUGCCAAGGGUGCAAGUAGCACUCUAGACACUUGUGAACCCUUAUAUUGCCUGAGGCACAAUGUACAAAAAAGCACUUUGCUGAGUGAAGUGUGUGCUAUUUUGUAUGAGUGUAAAAUAAGCUUACCCUUUUUACGUUAUGAUAAUAAACACAAAGAUUGAUCUAGGAAAUCUACAAAAAAUGCAAAAUCUUCUUUUAAUUAAGUUGGUCAUGCAUGAUUUUCUCCUUGUCCUAUGUCUGUUGUAGAGUACAUAAAUAUUGAAAGUACAGAGCUUAGUAUUAUCCCCAGUUCUUCAAUAACAAUAAUAAUUAAAGAGUGAAAAAAAGGAACUUAUACCAUACCACUUGAAGAACAAGCAAAUGGAAGUACUACAAUGCACCUCACCAUAAGUAAUACAUGCAGAUGCAUAUAAGUUAAAUAUCUCUAAAAAGGGAUAAACUACUUCAACCAGAUACCAUUGGGAUUGGGGAGUGUGUGUAAAUCAGCAGGAGGACAUCCAUACAUACAAAUACAAAUAAUUAUAUGAACAUGCAUUCAUAGCAUGCUAAUCUGUUCUAUAAAUAUACAAACAAUAUGAUGGUAUGAGAAAUAGCAAUUUCUUCAGCAUUGAGGCAUGUAAAUAGUUAAUGAUGGAGACCUAACAUGCUAUACAACAAAAGGGUUAUAAGUCUCAAAAUUUAGAAGUACAUCCAGAAUGCAAGUUGCAGGAACAUAGCACCAAGACUUAGACAAAAUGAUUUAGUCGCUAUGUAAAUUCAUUGGAACUACGUUUUCUUUAUGACCACAAGAAAAGUACAACAUAAUAGAACAAAAACAGCCAAGACCGAAACAAAGAUAGAGCCCAUGAAAAAUAACAGCAAUUAUAGGAAAAAUAAUUAACAAACAAACACACGAACACAAAAAUGUUAAUUAAAAUUGUGUAGACAAUUCCAGCAAGACAAGUUUCUGUCCAUUGGAAUUGUCUUGCCAAAAAAAGCAAUAACCAAUAACAUUUCUCUUAAAUAAUUGUCAAGCAAAUCCAUACCUUAAAGUUUCCAACAGUGUUUUAUUAACGCGUAGGAAUGCUUAUGUUAGAAGUACAAGAACCAUCCUUAUACUAGCUCAACUAAGUGUGAAAGUGAAGACCGGGUUUCUGGAUUCAUGGGAAUUUCAUUUAUUUUCUCGGAAAUAGAAAAAUAGCUUGAAAAUCUAGUAGUAGAGUGUUUCUCAAAUUUUAAUUUCAACAAAGCAAAAAUCCAGAGGUUUCAACUGUUUCAACUAUUUUACAGUGUAUGAACCCCCAAGAAAAUAUCUCAGUCACAUCUGUGCUAUAGUGAAUGCAGGUGCUGGCUUUACUAUUCUGGUAUCUUUCUUUUCCCCCUCAUUCCUUUCUGUUUCAGAAAAAGCUCCUCUCUGACAAUCUUAAGUAACGGAUUUUACAUAGCAAUCAUCAUGUGUUUUCUAUUAUUACUAAACUAGUGUAUUAACGUACAUAUUUAUAUUUUUUCUUCUUCCGAAAUCUUCAAUUAAAAUAGGUUUCUUUUUAAUGGUGACCACAUAAACUUGUCACAAUAGAAUUAAAGAUGAGUCCAGUACGCAUAGGUGUUAUGAACUUGCAUAAUGCAAAGCAAUCUUCAUGAAAAUGCUCUAAACAUAAGAACUUCACAAUCAGACAUAAGAAACUAGCUCCAAAUUCACAAAAAUACUCACCUUUUUGAAGCCGGCUAUUAAUUUAACAGGAACCCAGCCCUGGUCAUCCAUGUUUUGCCUCAAGUAGGUAUCCUUAAUUAGAUUUUCAUUACUG
rnacentral:lncRNA from 1 species